rnacentral:ncRNA from 1 species
AAUUAAAUUAUUUCUGGUUUUAAUAUUUAUAUUAAGUUUAUAACUAUAUAUAAGUUAUUGUUCAAAUAAUUUAAUAAAAUUUUAAUUAAAUAUUAUAUUUUUUAUAAUUUUAGUGUAAUAUUUAAUUUUAAAAAUUAAAGAAAUUUAAAAUUAGUUUAAUUUAUACCUAUAUUAAUAAAAAUUGUGCCAGCAAUUGCGGUUAAACAAUUAAUAAUAAUAAAUAUAGUUUUAAGUUUAAUAGAUUAAAUUAAUGGAAUUAGGAUUUAAAUAUAAAUUUAUUAGAUUAAAUAAAAAAUUUAUUUAUAAAAAAAUAAUAAAUAUUUAGAAAUUUAAAAAAAAUUUGUUAUAAACUAGGAUUAGAUACCCUGUUAUAAAAUUAAUAAAAUUUGAUUAAUAAAUUAGUAAUAGAUAAAUUCUUGAAAUUUAAAGAAUUUGACGGUAUUUUAAUCAAUUUAGAGGAGCUUGUUUUAUAAUUGAUAAUCCACGAUAAAUUUCACUUAAUUUAAAGUUUGUAUAUCGUUGUUAAAAAAUUAUUUUUUAAAAAUUUAUAAUAUUUAAAAAGUUUAAGAUAAAAUUAUAUCAAAUCAAGAUACAGUUAAUAGUUGAGAAUGUAAUGAGCUACAAUAAAUUUAUUUUUUGAUUUUUAUAUAUUUAUAAAAAAUUAUUUUACUAUCAUUGAAUUUAAAAGUAAAUUAAAAAAUUUAUUUUAAUUGAAUAUUGUUUUAAAAUAUGUACAUAUCGCCCGUCGCUCUCAUUUAUAAGUGAGAUAAGUCGUAACAAAGUAGAUAUAUUGGAAAAUGUUUCUAGAAUGAU